rnacentral:lncRNA from 1 species
AGAAAGUCACUGUGUACCGUCCUAGCAAAGUUAGAGUGCGCUCCUUGUGUGACAAGGAGUUUGAAGAUGAUGUAGAUCGUUUCCAUCGUUUUCAUGGAAGUCUUGUUCAUCAGAUUGAGGUAGGAUGCGCCGCUGCAAGAAUACCUAUCUAUCCAAGCUAUGCUAAACUUAAAGGAAAGGUAAUCAGUUUUCACUUGUGUUUAUUAUUAAAUAUAUUGCCGUUUGACUAAUGUUUGUUUUGGAGCAGGAAAUUUAUUGUCCAAGCAAAGCAGAGUUGAAGAAAGACGAACUACAUGGGCAUAUUGUCCUUUUCACGGGAUAUGGUUGUGAUGAAAAUAAUAAAGUCUACUAUCAGUUCCAAGAGACAGCUGGAACAUCAGUGGGAGAUCAAGGUUAUCACUACGUUUAUGCCGACUUCGUCGAAAUGUAUGUAGAGAUGGAGCCAGAGAUGGAGCUGUGAGCUAAUACUGUUUGCUCACUCUGCAGAAUUGCUUCUGUCAUCUAAUUUCCUGUUUGUGUUCAUCUCUUUAUAUAUUUCUUUAGCGGUUCUGUUCUCUCGUGUUGGUUAUUUACCUGUCUGUCUUGUUUCCUGUUGGUUUCAUAUUCUCCACUGUUUCAGUACUGCUCUUGUUAUACUCCUCAGAUGGAGGCGUUAGUUGAUACAGUUCUCUCUCGUGUUAAUUAGUAGUCCUCCAAUGUGCCAUUCACUACUGUAUAUCUAGUAAAAAUUAUAUUAUGUUCAUCUCUGUCCGUUUGUUAAUUGGUAGUCCUGUUUAGUUAUGCUGAUUUGUUGUCUGAUGUUAGUGUGAGUUCAUAACUGUUUCUAUUAUUCCUUUCUCUACUGCUUCUGUUAUACCAUUUAUGUUUGAACGAUUAACUUGAAUUUUGCAGGACAGGUUGCUGCUGACGGAUAUGGUAUACAAAUAACAACAAUAAUGGAAGUUUGAAGUGGAAUAAGUGAAUAACUUGGGAGACUUGUUAAUAGCUGUCGUGGAAGUUUGAAGUAUUAAUAAUUUGGGAGACUUGUUAAUAGCAGUCGUGAUUGAUAUAACCGACCUUAUAUGGUUUAAUAGAUCUUUGAAAUAGAAUAAACUUGAUUGACUUUGUCAAUAUGGUCGUGUCUGAUACAACCGACCUUAUAUGGUUUACAAAUAAAUGAAGUAAAAUAAUUUGGAAGAGUUUGUUACUACCUCCGUUUCCGAAAGUAAGAUGUUUUAGAUUUUUUUCUUGUUCCACAAAGAUAGAUUUUUUAUAUUGUUAAAGUAUUUUUUUAUACUUUUGAGGAACAUUAAUUGAGAAUAUUUGAAUUGAUUAAAUUUCAUUGGUGGAAAGUUAUUGGAAAGUGUAUAAUAAAGUAAAAAAUAAAUUAAAUUAUAAAUAUUUAUUAAAUUCUUAAUAAGCGUACAUACUCUAGAAAAUCUUACUUUCAGGAACAAAGGGAGGGAGUAUUACCCAACUUUUUAACUUGUGCAUUUUUCUCUGAAACAAAACUAGUUUCUCCAUGUUACACUUGGAGAGAGAAAUUUCUCGACUCUUUGGUUACUUAAAUUUCUCUGUCACUCUCUCACUUUUCUAUCUAAAUAUUUUAUAUCCAAGCAAUUGUAAGUGAUUAUAUUUUCAAACACAAGUGUUGUAUCAAACUAAUCUACGUAAACUAGUUAACUGUCAAAGUACUAAUCUAUGUAUAUAAUAUAUACAUCGAUUCAAAUAUAAACAUUAUUUUUUUUUUAUAAACACAAUUUCGAGUGAAAAUCGGACAUGAAAGGGACAGAGUACUAAAUGUCGUUUUGGAAAUUGUAAACUGAUAGAUAUCGAUCGUUGGACCUUAUGACCCUCAUAAAAGUUUUAAGUGUAUUGUUAAGUUUUGUGACUUGGAAUCAGUCCAUAUAUAAACAGCAAGUAAACAAUAUAUACAUAUCAUUUGUUAUAUAUAAAGCUUCAGAAUUCCAAACAAAGACAAAAAGAGAAACUAAAGGGAUUCUCGUCUAGCAAAAGUCCUCGCAAUGUUGCGAAUUGAUUCUUUAUGUUAUACAAAACUGAUUUUCCUCUGAAUAGAUUGGUGUUAUAUCAGAUAUUAAUAAUUUAGAUUUCUGAAAAAGAAAUAAACCCUAAAAGCCAAAAGUAUUUGGCCACGCGCCUGACAAGUCAAACUUUCCAAAUAUAGAACGGUGUCUUAUUAUAUGCCCAUAUGGAUAUUUUGCAUCAAAGAAAAUCUACGAAAAUAUCGGAGGGUGGAGCUCAUGCGCUAUAACCAGCUACUCACAUUCGAUUUACAACAUUAUGCCCAUUAAAUUAAUUCACAAUCAUACAGACCCAUCAAGGGAUCCAAUAAACAGAGAGAAAGUUCAACGACAACACACGCACAGCCUUAAUCAUAAACCAUAUGAAAGGUAUAUUCUAUUGAUUCCAUGGUCGAUGAAGAGCCUGACGAAAUCUUUGACAAAGAGGGAAACGGUGAAAGAAUUAAUCAAAAGUGAAUAGUUUCAGCAUAUGGUAAGAAUCUCUGAACCAGUUCUAGUUAUCAGAAUUGUAUGUUCAAACUGUGCGGCUACACCACCAUCAGCUGUUAGAGUAGUCCAGUUGUCCGGCCAUGUUACACAUUCCGUGGUUCCAAUCGUUAGAAUCGGUUCUGCAACGCCAAAUAACACCCAUCAUCAACUUGUUAUUACUAUACAGUAAUCAUUGUAAGCAAAUGAAAAACCAUGACAUGGAAGAGCAACAAACCGAUUGUGAAAGUUUGUCCCUCAACCAUAUGCCCUGGCUCAUCAUUUCCUGCAAAUUGAAUAGAAAGAUUAUCCCCCAAAGUCGAGUUACUAACAACAACACUUAACAAAGAACAAAGCUGAAGCGUUUUCCUGAACAAGCAAAGCUAAGAAAGGUGUUAUUUACGGUAAUGAUAAAUCAAAGGUUCAGAGUGAAACACUGGUCCAACACCAUGCCCAACAAAUCGCUCCACAACGUUGUAGCCGCACUUCUCUGCAUGCUCACUGUUUUGAAAUGUUGAACCAUCAAAACCAAUACCCUUCUCUCUCUGCACGGUAAUAUCUUUCAUCAAGAAUGAUUAUAGACUUAUAGUUAAUAGUUACCUGAUUGUCUUGCCGAUUUUCUUGAAGCUUGCUCCAUCUUUACACACGGCUAUACCAUUCUCCAAGCAUUCCUCCGUAACCUUAACAAAAAAUAAAACCAAGCAACAAUUAGCAUUACGAACCAGAAUCCACUAUUCUGAACUUCAAAGACACACAACACAGUGGAACAAAGAAGAAAACUACCUUCACAAGUCGUUUAAAACCUUCGUCAACCUCUCCACAGAAGAAAGUUCUUGAUGUAUCUCCAUGGUAACCCUGUUCCAGUUUCAAAUCCCCAAAAACAGGUGUUACUACGAUUCCAUCUUUAAGCAUACAAAAGUGCCAUAGAGAUUAGUGACUUACAUCCAAGUAAACCGUGACAUCAAUGUUAAUUAUAUCCCCACUCUACAACAAUAAGAAGUAAUAGUUAGCGAGAGUUCAUUCAUUCACAAACUCUUCAGCUUAAAAGCAAGAUCCAAACCUGGAGCUGGCGAGAAUCCGGUGAUCUUUUCGUUUCUCUUAUUCUGCAGAUCAAACAUGCGCCGAGCUAACAAAUACAUGCAUGGCUCAUCCUAUAAAUACAGGAAGACUAGCUUUUCCAAACCACAAAUCAAAAAAACCCGACUCCUCUUAGGUAAUCUCUGUUACAUUUUGUCCAUUUUACAAAUAGAUCUGUUUUCAUCUGAUCUUUUGUUUCUCUUAUUCUGCAGAUCAAACAUAGCUUCUGAAAUUCUGCUUAAGGUAUUUUUCUAUCUCCAUUGUUUGAUCCAAUCCAUAUUUUAUAUUCUUUGAUUGAUAUACCAAAUUCGAAUUAAAUGGCUGUUUCCUCUUUUUGCCCGUAGGAAUGUUGAGCAAAGAGAUGCAUUUCUCGUGGAGACUGGUGGUUCCAUGUUUGCUCCGUGAUAUCAUGACCCAGGGUAAUGAUAUCUGUUGGGCAAUUGCCUUCGUAAGGCAAUUUGAGUUUCUCCUAAAGAAAAACCAUCGUAUGGAUAAGGAUGAGGAUCAUCUCUCCGUUCAAUAUUUCAUCAACAACACACCCAAACAAUUUAUGGAAAAAAAGGGUUAUGGUGGGAUCAUGGACAUUACGUGUCUACCAUCAGUUUUGUUGGAUCAUGGCACAGUCUUGGAGAAACACUGUCCACUAUCUGAGACCCUUCAAGUUACAAGAUUUAAUGCUGAUGUGAGUCCAAUCAUUUCUCAUUUUAAUCUUUUUUCACUUUUUCAGACUUGAUUUAUAACUUUUUAUAUUUUCAGGAAGGUGUCACUGUUUACAAACCUAGCAAAGUCCGAGUGCGCUCCUUGUAUGACAAAGAGUUUAAAGAUGAUGUAGAUCGUUUCCAUCGUUUUCAUGGAAGUCUUAUUCAUCAGAUUGAAGUAGGAUGCGCCACUGCAAGAAUACCUAUCUAUCCAAGCUAUUAUAAACUUAAAGGAAAGGUGAUCAGUUUUCACUUGUUUUUAUUAUUAUUUAUUAUU